GCCCUUAUAGCUCAGUGGUAGAGCGCAUCACUCGUAUCACGUGAUCGUGCUUACGUAAUCAGAUAUGAUGAGGUCUGUUGUUCAAUCCAGCAUGGGGGCA